CCCAGAGGUAUUGAUUGGUGAGAAUUCCCUUCGAACACUUGCACCAACCUGCGCAGAUGCGCAGGUUUUUUUU
rnacentral:sRNA from 1 species